AUGUACGUGCCAGGAUCAGAAAUUCACGUACACGACGAUUACAUAAAUGACUCAUCAUAGCACAAUGCUUCGAAUAACAAUAAAGAUAAGUAAUAAUAUGAAAGACUAGAGUCAUUUACAUAAUAUAACCAAAGUACACAGAACAGAAACGUAGCCAACGUAAAUAAACCCACCACAGGCAGCUGACUGGGGGAGGUCGCUAGCCUAAUCCUCGAACUCGUCGAAGUCCUGGAACUCCUGGAGAUUCGCCUCGACGCCUUCUUCUUUACCUGAGCAUAGAUUGCACCAAAGGCAACCUGGUGUUUUGUGAAAGCAAGGGUGAGUACACAUCAACGUACUCAGCAAAUGUCCCGUUUGGCUGUAGUGGACUAGCUUUAUUUGGGGUUAAGGUCAAGCAGUUGCUUUUAGUUGGUCAGGUUAUUAUUAUUAAUUGAGAGCCAGGUUUUAACAUUAACCCAAGUUAUUAACCCAAAGUACCCUUUCCAAACGGAAAGAAUACCACUUACCAUUACCAUAGUCAUAACCAUCAUCAUCAUCAUCAUCUGUAAACCAACCAUCUCUGAUCAAGUACCUCUAAUCAAAGAGGAUCCCAAGGCCGCUCAUAACCGUGAGCACGGCUGAUAUAUCAGUUUCACUACCCUCUGCAGAGGUCGCACACUUUACCCAUGAGUCAUAAUUCCCUUUCUGCCCGGGGAGAGCUACUCCCCAUUGAUCACUCCCUAGGUGGUCCGGCAGGGUAUCACUACGUAGCUGUUACAAAGAUUCCCUAGAGGUCAUAGCUGCCCGUUAGGUUUCUCCAGUUUGAUAAACACAGUACCCCUCCCCGCAGGAGAGUGACUAACAAAGAGCAAAAUGAAAGAACCUCGGCACUCAGCCUCGGCAGAGCAAGCACUGUGCCUGGACCCCAUUGACGGCACGACGGCUAAGCAACUACACCUCUAGUUCAUCUAAUUAAUCAGCUAAGGGCAUCCCAUUUCACCCUCAUGGUUGCACUGUUAUCCCGGGUUGUCACUCCCCAAACAGGUCCUUACGGAGAGGCACUCAAGAAACAACCUGAGCCCCCCUAAAGUAUCACAGGAACAUCAUCGGUAUAAUAUCAUAGUAUCAUAAGUAUUCACAUCAUGUUCAUUGAUUAAAGUAAAGCAAUAGCAUAAUGCUAACCAUGAUAACCCAAAAGGUAAACAAGGAUAAGGUAAAUAGAAAGCUAGUCAAUCCUUAGGUUUCAAUUAAGUAAUGCGGGACAGUGCAUUAAAAGUGAAUGGGACAUAAUGGGUCAGAGGACACUUGCCUUCACCAAACAGAUGCUCAGGGUCCUCAACUUUGCAGAACUCGAAGAAUAUCACUUGGUCGCCGAAGCUUGACCGUCGAUUCCUUGAAGCUCAGGAACAGAUCGCAAUCUAUUCGCGUCGCACAGCGAAUACCAACAGGCACAAACAAACAGACAUAUGUAUAUGCAUAAGAACAUUACAUCAUUCAAAUAAAAACAUAAUAAAAUAUGCAGAACGAAAUAGAGCGCGUUACUACGGUCGCGCGAGGAAAAAGGAACCCGACAGUCGAAGCUUCGAUCGAGGAGUUAUAACGUUUACGCUACGCAAGUAGUAGCUAGGACAUUUAAUUUGAUAUUGUAAAAAUAUAACUUAUAACCGUUAUGUAGUUUUGAUUAAAUCUACCACACUAAUAGCUAUCAAACAAAUAACUAAUAUAAUUAGCACGAGAGAUUCUAAGCGAAGCGAAUUUACGACGCAUGAAACAAUACGACAGCGUGCAAACGACGCGCGGGCACGCGCGACGUAGCACGUGAACAACGCCUGAGACAGUGCGCGCGACCAGCGCGAACGACGCGUGAACCAGCACGUAAACGACGCGCAACGACUUGCGCGAACAGCACGCGCGCCACAAGAACAUCACGCGCGAACAGCGCAUAGAUGGUGCGACGACGCCCACGCACAGCACAAUGACACGAGAAUCACUACAUUUAUCGGUUUAUAAUAAAGCAUGGCCAGCAAUUAAUUAAUUAAUUAACUAAAGCAUGAGGUACGAUAAAAUAAUAUUUUUAACGUGUACACGAUAUUAUUGUGAAGGUAAAACAAUUAGAAUAGAGUAAAUCGGACGACCAUAAAAGUUAAUGUGUAUUUACUGACCCGUUGAUUUAAUAUUGCGCGCGACAAGCGACAAUGUGCGAAAACGGCACGCGGCAACGCGUGCGAAUAGCACGCGCGACGACACGCACGACAACACGCGAAACAGCGCGACACGCGAAAGGCACGCGAUUCAGCGCGCAGCAACACGCGAGAAUCGCUAUCAGAUAUCGUGUUUAUACUAAAUAAGUAUUAAUUCAAAAACAUUUGUGUAGAUAUAAUCCUAUUAACAUAUGUAAUCAAAGCGCAGCUAAAACUAUAAAAUAGUUUAAGUAAACUACUGCUUUAAUAUCUCGGAUAAAUAAAUAAUCAACUAAUUAAUUAAAACGUGUAUCACAAUGAAAUAAUUUUAGUAACAUAAGUGAUUAUAAGCGAAUGAUUUAAGCUCGUGCUCGGAUAACGCGCGAUACACGCGAACAGCGCGCGGCAAGGUGCGCGACACAAGCAUGGGAACAACAUUACGGCACGCGCGAAUGACAUACGAAAAUCAUUAAUUAAUGUCGUGUUAUACUAUACAAUUAUUAAAAAAAACAUCCAAUUUAAUAUUGAUCCCUCGCAGCCAAUAACUAAUAGAAAAUUGCCACAUGGCCAUGCAUGUGGGGGAGGACGGUUUCCAAAUGCGCAACGCAGGGGUGUUUUCGGGUUGCAUGCGAUGUGCAUGCGGAUGGGGCCCACAAGCUGAUCGUGCGUGGAGAUUGGAGAUUGGAUGUCGCAUGCGGAACAGCUUUGCAUGUUGCAUGCGGGACGGUUUUUUUUCUAGGCAUCGAGCAUGUGUGCAGUGGGGAGGAAAGCGUCGGUCAGGAGUGGCAUCGACGGCACUAGCAGCUCGCCGGGCCAGACGCCUAAACUACGCGCGCGGCAGCAGGCCAGCAUGGACGACACACGGCCUAGAGCGCCUUGGAUCAGGCGAAGCGGCGUGGUCGGGCUACACAGUGGAGGAACGUGGUCACCGGAGGUCCGAGGUCGGCUGCGGCAGGGCUGAGCGCGCGCCACGCGGCCAGGAUGCAGGCCUGCCAGGCUCCAGGGGCUCGGCCGCGGACUCGCCAUGCGAGGGCACUGACCGUCGCGUUCGCCGACCUGCAGGACCCCGGGGCGCGACGCGAGAGAGAGAAUAGCGGAGGGGGCAGUGCUUGCCGGCGCCUUCACUACGCCGCACGGCUUCGACCAGGCAGCGCUGAGCACCGGGCACCGGCUAGGGGCUGCAGGGAGGGUCCGUCGAGGAGGGGAGAGAGGAUGGGGAAGGGAAGAGAGGAGAGAGGACUCACCGGGAAUCGCCAUGUGCAGGGACGACAGCUUCUGCGUGAUUUGGAUCUGGGGAAGGAGACUAGAGGUUAUGUGACGGCUGGGUGGUUGUAUAAAAGGGAACACGAGAGGAGGUUGCCAAACUCGCCAUCAACUGUGUUGCGACCGAGCGAGAGAGGCGAUUGCGAAUACGACGAGGGUAAACACGAGCAACACGACGUUUGCGAGGGAAUACAUUUUAAUUAUCCCGCGAAAAGGACAUGAGAUCUAGAACAGGCUCGACGAGAGGAAGAAAUAUAUGUUAUCGUGUUUUCAAAAUACUAAAUUUAGGCAUUUAAAUAUUAGAAAGGCUGAAAUUCAUAUUUAGUACCCGAAGAAAGUUCUGAAGAUUCCAAAAACUCUCGGGAACAUCCUCGAGAUCUUUAACAUGUUUCAAUAACAUUUUGCACUCAUAAACACUAUGCAUCGGCAUGAAUGCAACACUCAAGCACCUCUGAGGUUUUAUUUUACUAAGCUUACACCUAGAUAUAAAAUAAAAUAAUUCUCCACUUUUAGGAAAAAGAAAAGGAAAGCGAAGAGCUGAGGGAGUAACACCUGAAUUUGGUGGAUAUUUGAAAAGAAAUUUUAUACCCCCAAAUUCAGGGUGUUACAGAUCUAACCCCCUUAACAGAAUCUCGUCCUCGAGAUUCAAGAAGAGGCUAGCAAGAAAAUGAGAUUGGUUUAUUAGUCUUUCAUAGCUUCUUCUAACUCGGCUUUGACUCUGUCAGCUUUAACUUGCGGACUGGUUGCUUUGACCUUCAGGUGCUUGAGAUCGAUUGAUGCAAUUCAUGAAGAUCUCUUGGACCUGUGGGUUGGACCCACGCACGCUUUCGCUGCGCCACUUUGAUCUUGUUGGUUGACGUGGAUCGCAUUGUCUUCAUUGGGGUUAGCGGCUAACCCCCUUAACAGGAGCGUUGAUACACACUUGAUGAAGAUGCUACCGACUCUGAUCUUGACUGAUUUGAAGGAGUUGGAGGAUGCCGACCGGACAGGUGCAAGAGGAAAGGGUAGCGAGAAAAAGGUAAGUAUAGACGGAUUAGAGAGAGUAGGGGGAGAACCUAACUAAUUAACUAUAUGGCACUUACCUGGUAAACUGAGGUCAUUGCGGACCCGGGGCCACAACACACCAACACUCAUCACAAAGAAGCAAAUCAGUCAUAACACAAAGACAAACAGCACAAGCAUACAACAACAAACAUCUCGUUGCUAUACGUAACUUUUAAUUAAAUGGUGGUCUUUCCUUAAAAAGGGAAACUAUUCUAAGGCCAAUAAAAGGCAAGGGGAAUAAUAAGACAUGGAGGGGCAUGAGCAUAAUAAAGGAUGGAGCUAAAGCAAGGAUCAUAGUUACAAGGGAGAAAAUGCAACCAAGGGCAGGGUAGGUAAACACCAUUCUCAAAUCGAGAUGGGAAAGGUGAUGUUUCAAAAGGUAGGCAUAGGAGAAGCAUCAUGGAAAGAUCUAGAUAUUAGGAAGGUAAGGGCGAUAUCAAACAAAAGCUAAGACUUGCAACGCGACAUAGGAAUAGGGAACGAACAAGAGCGGGGAGGGGUAAGACAACACUCUUGAAAUGAAAUGGGGGAGGCGGCUUUAAAAUGCAGGUACAUGACAAGCAUCAAAGUAAUGAUCGAAGGAUGACAAGGGUUAAGGUGAUAACGGACAAACACGUAAUAAAGGAUGUAUUUUAAACAAGACUUGCAAGGUGUCAAAGAAGGGGGAGGAGUCAACGAUGAAAUAUAUGAGGCAUAUCCCCGAAUAGGGAUGGAUAUGAGGAGGCUUCAAAGGGUAGGUUCAAUGUAGGAAGGAAGGCAAGGGAAUAGAUAUCACGAGGGUCUGAAGGUGAUAACAGACAAGGAUGUAGGAGAGGAGGUAAAUAGGCAUAAGACAAAGGAUAUGAGUACCAUAAAGGAUGGAGUUAAGACAUGACCUGCAAGUGGGAAAGAAGAGGGUACGUCCAAGGGCCAAAUAGGUAAAUUGCCACUCUGAAUUUGAGGUGGAAGAGAGGAGGGAUUUUUUUAAGAGUAGGAAUAAAGAUGAGUAUCAAGGCAAGAUCGAUGGAUGACAAGGUGAUGGUGAUAGCAAAUACAACACAACAAAGGGUGAAAUUAAGACAAAACUUGUAAGGCGACGAGGAGUGAAGAGAAAUCAAGGAAGAGAUGAGUAACUCACAAUUCUCAAACUGGGUUGAAAGAAAGGGGAGGCUUUUAAAGGAUAAGUUCAAGGUAAGCAUUCAGAUAGAAGACACCAAUAUUCCAAGGGUCAAAGGCGAUAACAGACAAGGGUAUGAGAGAAAAGAUGAAGGUAUUGAAGAGCCAGUGGUAUGAGUACAACAAAGAAUGGAGUCACGUUCAAGCUUACACGUGGUAAAGAAGAGGAUAUAGCCAAGGGUGAGAUAAGUAAAACACCGCUCCCAAUUUGGGAUAGGCCUCGGCAGAGCAAGCACUGUGCCUGGACCCCAUUGACGGCACGACGGCUAAGCAACUACACCUCUAGUUCAUCUAAUUAAUCAGCUAAGGGCAUCCCAUUUCACCCUCAUGGUUGCACUGUUAUCCCGGGUUGUCACUCCCCAAACAGGUCCUUACGGAGAGGCACUCAAGAAACAACCUGAGCCCCCUAAAGUAUCACAGGAACAUCAUCGGUAUAAUAUCAUAGUAUCAUAAGUAUUCACAUCAUGUUCAUUGAUUAAAGUAAAGCAAUAGCAUAAUGCUAACCAUGAUAACCCAAAAGGUAAACAAGGAUAAGGUAAAUAGAAAGCUAGUCAAUCCUUAGGUUUCAAUUAAGUAAUGCGGGACAGUGCAUUAAAAGUGAAUGGGACAUAAUGGGUCAGAGGACACUUGCCUUCACCAAACAGAUGCUCAGGGUCCUCAACUUUGCAGAACUCGAAGAAUAUCACUUGGUCGCCGAAGCUUGACCGUCGAUUCCUUGAAGCUCAGGAACAGAUCGCAAUCUAUUCGCGUCGCACAGCGAAUACCAACAGGCACAAACAAACAGACAUAUGUAUAUGCAUAAGAACAUUACAUCAUUCAAAUAAAAACAUAAUAAAAUAUGCAGAACGAAAUAGAGCGCGUUACUACGGUCGCGCGAGGAAAAAGGAACCCGACAGUCGAAGCUUCGAUCGAGGAGUUAUAACGUUUACGCUACGCAAGUAGUAGCUAGGACAUUUAAUUUGAUAUUGCGCAUAGAUGGUGCGACGACGCCCACGCACAGCACAAUGACACGAGAAUCACUACAUUUAUCGGUUUAUAAUAAAGCAUGGCCAGCAAUUAAUUAAUUAAUUAACUAAAGCAUGAGGUACGAUAAAAUAAUAUUUUUAACGUGUACACGAUAUUAUUGUGAAGGUAAAACAAUUAGAAUAGAGUAAAUCGGACGACCAUAAAAGUUAAUGUGUAUUUACUGACCCGUUGAUUUAAUAUUGCGCGCGGACAGCGCGCGACAAGCGACAAUGUGCGAAAACGGCACGCGGCAACGCGUGCGAAUAGCACGCGCGACGACACGCACGACAACACGCGAAACAGCGCGACACGCGAAAGGCACGCGAUUCAGCGCGCAGCAACACACGAGAAUCGCUAUCAGAUAUCGUGUUUAUACUAAAUAAGUAUUAAUUCAAAAACAUUUGUGUAGAUAUAAUCCUAUUAACAUAUGUAAUCAAAGCGCAGCUAAAACUAUAAAAUAGUUUAAGUAAACUACUGCUUUAAUAUCUCGGAUAAAUAAAUAAUCAACUAACUAAUUAAAACGUGUAUCACAAUGAAAUAAUUUUAGUAACCACGGCGACGCGCAAACAUCGCAUGAAUGGCACGCGACGACGCAACAAGUGGGAGAUUGACUUUCCGUGUUUGUAUUCAACAAAUAUUAAUUCAACACAUUUGAGUAGGCAUAAUCGCAUUAACAUGAAUUUGUAAAAGAGUGAAUUAAAACUAUAAAUUAGUUUUAAUCGAAUUGCUACCUAUUAUCCGUGAGAUAAACAAAUAAUUGUUAAUUACUUAACUAACAUAUGUGUCAAGACAAAGUAAUAUGAUUAUCACGAACAUGACGUUAUUACGGAGCUAACUCAAAGGAACGAAGUCUAACGCAACUCCUAUUGAAUAAAUCAAACGCCGCAUAACGUAUUGAAUAAUUAACAACUCGCGGCUAAACACGACGCGACAUACGAAUAUUACCAGAUUAUAAUUAAAUGCACAAAACUAUAUUUCUAAGUUGAUUUUAGUUAAUAUAAGUUAUUUGCGUACAACAUUUUAGAUAAAUUGAAUUGUCAAUUAGUUCAUGAUUAUAGCGAAGUGAUUAAUUAAUGUACGCGGAUUGCGCACGCGAUCGACAACAACGGACACGUGAACAGUGCGAAGGCGUGCACGUGCAGGGGGUAGACGGGGGGGGGGUGCUGCUGGCUGGCGACGCGUGACGAAUGACGACGACGUAUAUUUAACUUGCGCACAAGGUCUCUACACGGUUAAUGUAUAAUUAAUUAACCAACCUAGUCGACUUUACGCGAGGAAUAAUAAUAAUGCGCGCAAAACGCGUGAUGCGGAAUCAGUACAAACGACGCGCGGGAUGAACCAUAAUCUAGUUUUAAUUAAAAGGUCAUAAGUGUUGAAUAAACCACUAAUUAAAUAAUUAAAACUUGCAACGUGACAAUAUAAUAAUUCUAAUGUGUGCACGAUAUCGUAGACUUGUGCAUAAAUAAAUGCAGACUUCCAAGUAUAGCAAAUUAUUUAUGCGAACUCAUAAAUCCGGACGUUUAUUACCUAUACAGUCGAGGACAUUUUUGCAAAACGAGCUUCCUUCUUCCUCGGAACAACGGCUCUGGGCUUCCUGCGCAGGGGCGGGGCUGCGGGUCGGACGCGCAGCCACGGCUGGAGAGCCGCCAUGAGCGCACGCAGGAGCCGGGAAGCCGCGGCCAGGGCUGGACAGCAGCGGGGCUGUUGCCGGGGAUGGUCACAAUGCCGCAUCGGGCCACCAGGCUUGGCCGCGCCAUGGCCGGCUGGGCCACGGGACUCGCGCGCGCACAGGAGGCGGCUGGCUUGCUAGAGCAUGGACGGCGACGCGACACACCACGGCGUGGCUGGGCAAGCGCGCUGGGCGGGGGUGCUGGCACGGCUGGGCCAUGCCCGCGACCAAGGAGAAGGGGAGGAGGGGCGAGUGAGCGCAGGAACUCGGACAGCAAAGAUAGAGUACAAACAGAGCGAGCUCCAACGGACGAUGGGGCGCCAAAGCGGCUUCGAAAGGUGGACGAGGGCGCGCAUCUGGCGAUUACUGGGGCGAGGGACGAGACAACGACCGCUGGGGACUUGGGAAAUGAAGGAGAGAAGAGAAGGGGAAGUGUAGAUGCUCGGAUAAGGCAGUGUGGAUGCGUACGUCGGGUUCCUCAGCGUCGUGGACGAGAUCGUGGCGUCGGUUCCGUCUUCCACGCGCGCACGAAGAGCGGGGGUGUGGCGGCGGCUGAGCGUGUGCGACGCGCAACUGGGCGAGCGACGGCGCGAGGCAGCGGCUGCACGCGCUCGGCGAGGCGCUGGGCGAGCGGCUGCGUGCGGGGCCACGGCGGGGUGGGCCAGCUGGGCGUGGCGGCUGCGGGCGCGAGCGGCGGCGCGCAGGGCGCGGGGCUGCGGUGCGCGCGAGGCCGUCGCACGGCUGGGCUGGGGGGAAAUGGGCCGCGCGCUAGGGUUGGGGGCGCGCCUGGGCAGCACGACUAGGCCGCGGAGCGCGGAGUGGGCCGCGGGCGUGAUGGGCUGGGGAGCAGCGCAGUGCGCGCUGGGCUGCGAGCGCGAUGGGCUGCCAAGUCGAGCAGGCCGGGGCGCAGGGGUGGCCAGGGGAGGGCGCUGGGCCGCGCGGCUGGGGGCGCCGAGUGGGCCUUGGGGCAGGCCGGCCAGGGGGGCUGGGAAGGCUUUCCCUUUCCCAUUUAUUCUUCCUUUUCUUAUUCUUUUAUCUAUUUAUAUUCAAAUUUAGAUAUAGUUUUUGAAUCGAAAAUUCAAAUAUACUUCUUGAGUUUGAAUGGAUGCACCACCACAACAAUUCAACAUAUAAUAAAAUAUCUCGGCAUGCUAUGCAAAAAUCAAGGACUCUUUUUAGGGUUCCAUUUUACUACGCUCAACAUAUGUAUAUGUAUAUAUACACACUCACAUACAAAAUAACUCUCCACUAAUCAGGAAAAGAAAAAAGUUAUGUAAGAGAGAGGGUAACACCUGAAUUUGGUGAAUAUUAGAAAAGAAAUUUUAUACCCCCAAAUUCAGGGUGUUACAGAUCUAACCCCCUUAACAGGAAUCUCGCCCCCGAGAUUCAAGAAGAAGCUAGCAAGAAAACGAGGUUGGUUCAUAGGUUGUCCACAGCUUCCUUGAGCUGACUUUGACCCGGCAAGCUUAACUUGCGGACUAGUUGCUUUGACCUUUAGAUGUUCACGACCAACUGAUGCAAUUCUUGAGGAUCCCUUGGACCUGUGGGUUAGGACCCACCACGCUUCCGCUACGCCACUUUGACCAUGUUGGUUGAUGUUGAUCGCAUUGUCUUCAUUGGGGUUAGCAACUAACCCCCUCAACAGGAGCGUUGAUACGCACUUGAUGAAGAUACUGUCGAUUCUGAUCUUGAUGGAUUAAGAGAAGUUGGAGGCUGCCAACUGGACAGGUGCAAAUGGAUAGAAUAUAAAUAGAAUAGGUAAGCAUAGAUGGAUUAAAGAGAGAAAAGGGAGAGCACCCAACUACCUAACUCUAUGACACUCACCUAGUAAACUGAUGUCAUUGCGGACCCACGGCCACAACACAUCAACACUCAUCACAAAGAAGCAAAUCAGUCAUCACACAAAGACAAACAGCACAAGCAUACAACAACAAACAUCUCGUUGCUAUACGCUCCUUAUAAUUAAAUGGUGGUCUUUCUUGAAAAGGGAAUAACUACUCUCUAAGGUUGUUGAAGGACGAGGAGAAGAACAAGACGUGUAGGAUAGGGACACGAGCACAAUAAAGGAUGGAGUUUAAGUAAGGAUUGUAAUCGACAAGGGAGAGAAUGCAACCAAGGGCAGGGUAAGUAAACAUCAUUCUCAAAUUGAGAUGGGAAGGAUGAUAGUUCAAAAGGUAGGCAUAAUAAAAGCAUCAUGCAACCAAUAGGCGAAAGCACACCAAAUGAUCGAGUUAAGACAAGACUUGCAGCACGACGGAGGAAAAGGGAACGAACAAGAGCGGGGAGGGGUAAGACAACACUCUUGAACUGAAUUGGGAGGGGAGGCUUUAAAAUACGGGUACAUGAUAAGCAUCAAGGUACAGAUCGAGGGAUGACAAGGGUUAAGGUGAUAACGGACAAACACACGACAAAGGAUGUAUUUGAAGAAAAUCUGGCAAGGUGUUAGAGAAGGGGGAGCAGUUAAUGAUGAGAUAGAUGAGGCAUUAUCCUCGAACAGUGAUGGAAAAGGGGAGGCUUCAAAGGAUAGGUUCAAGAUAAGCAUGAGGGCAAGGGCAUAGAUAUCACGAGGGUUCUAAAGGUAAUAACGGACAAGGAUGUAGGAUAGGAUGUAAAUAGGCAUAAGACAAAAGUUAUAAGUACCAUAAAAGAUGGAGUUAAGACAGGAUCUACAAAUGGAAAAGGAGAGGGAGCGUCCAAGGGCCAGAUAGGUAAAUUGCCACUCUCAAAUUGAGGUGGAAGAGAGAAGAUUUUUAAAGGGCAGGCAUAAAGAUAAGUAUCAAGGUAAGGUCAAUGAUUGACAACGGUAAUGGUGACAGCAAACUGAAAUAAGUCAAAUGAUGGAAUUAAGACAAAACUUGUACGACGAUGAAGAGGGGAAGCGAUCAAGGUAGAGAUAGGUAACUCACCGCUCUCAAAUCGGAUCGAAAGAAAGGGAGGCUUUUAAAGGAUAAGUUCAAGGUAAGAAUUUAGGUAGAAGACAUAAAUAUCACAAGGGUCAAAGGCGAUAAUAGACAAGGGCAUAAGGGAAAAGACGAAGGCACAGAAGAGCCAGUGGUAUUAGUACAACAAAGAAUGGAGUUACGUCAAGGCUUGCACACGGUAAAGAAGAGGAGAUUGCCAGGGGUGAGAUAAGUAAAGCACCGCUCACAAAUUGAGAUAGAAGAUUGGAGAUUUUAGAUAACAGAUAUGACGUAAUCAACAAGGUGUGGGCGACAAAUGGGAAAGGUAAAUGUGACAACAAACAAAAGCACAACGAAGGAUGGAGUUGCGAGGAAGAGAAAAAGGUGAUAAACAUCAAGGUAAGAUAUAGAGGCGAUAAGGGCAAGGUGAUAACGAUGAAAAGCAUAAUCCAUGGACAGAGUUAAGGCAAGACUCGCAAAGUGAUGAAGUGGAGAAAACAAUCAAGGAAAAGAUAAGUGAGAUUCUGACAUAAGAGUUGAAGUAAAAGUUCAUUAUCGAAGGAAGUUACAAGGAAUUAACGAGAUCACCAAGGAUGUGCAAAAUAAAAAUGACCGCUCAUGGAUUAUUAGGAAACAAGGGUGAUCAAGGACAUGUUAACUGAAAUGUCUUGAAUAGUCAUUGGGGUAUGAAGGUAAGCAUACAUGAAAAUAUGAGAGUACGCAAGAUUCCAAGGGUACGAGCAUACCAAUACUAAGAGAAUAGAAAUUACCGAAAGAUAACGACUUAACAGCGGAAUGGGAAAGGAUCUCAAAAGACAGGAAGGUCAUGGUCAUAUAAACUCAACCGUUUAAAUAAGCAGCAGAGGUACAAGGGUAAGUACUUUGAAUUAAGGGAUAAGGAUAUUAAAAUACAAGGAUACGAGCAUGUCAAUACCAAUGGAAUAGAUAUUGUGAAAUGAUAGCAACUUAACGAUGGAAGAGGAAAGAAUCCCAAAAAACAAGAAGGUUAUGGUCAGGAGGCAUCUACAAAGAUGUCGCAAGCACAAGAGUGAGAUCAGAUCUAAUGGAUUGAGAGAAGUAUAGACCAUAGUGGAAUAAAAUACUUUUGGCAAGGGGCAUAUAGGAGCACAACAUAGAAUUAGUCGAGGUGGCUAAUAUUUUGAAGCAGAAUCAAGGAUGGGGUGAAGUAAUAAUCAAUAAGUCCUUAAAACGGCCAAUGCUACUCUAGGCUAGCGGUCCUACAGUCAGCACGGCUCUGAUACCACUUAUGUCACACCCGGUUUUGGAAGGUAAACCGAAUGCGAACCAUGUACGUGCCAGGAUCAGAAAUUCACGUACACGGCGAUUACAUAAAUGACUCAUCAUAGCACGAUGCUUCGAAUAACAAUAAAGAGUAAGUAAUAAUAUGAAAGACUAGAGUCAUUUACAUAAUAUAAAUCAAAGUGCACAUAAUAGAAAUGUAGCCAACGUAAAUUAACCCACCACAGGCAGCUGACUGGGGGAGGUCGCUAGCCUAAUCCUCGAACUCGUCGAAGUCCUGGAACUCCUGGAGAUCCGCCUCGAUGCCUUCUUCUUUACCUGAGCAUAGAUUGCACCAAAGGCAACCUGGUGUUUUGUGAAAGCAAGGGUGAGUAC
rnacentral:lncRNA from 1 species